rnacentral:rRNA from 1 species
GACGAACGCUGGCGGCGUGCUUAACACAUGCAAGUCGAACGGUGAAGCGCCUUCCUUUUUGGUGGGUGGGGAUGGGUGGCGAACGGGUGAGUAACACGUGAGUAACCUGCCCCCUUCUUCUGGAUAACCGCAGGAAAGUGUGGCUAAUACGGGAUAUUCUGGGUCUGUCGCAUGAUGGGUCUGGGAAAGAUAUUGUUUCGGUGGGGGAUGGGCUCGCGGCCUAUCAGCUUGUUGGUGGGGUGAUGGCCUACCAAGGCGGUGACGGGUAGCCGGCCUGGGAGGGUGGACGGUCACACUGGGGCUGAGCCACGGCCCCGACUCCUACGGGAGGCAGCAGUGGGGAAUAUUGCACAAUGGGCGCAAGCCUGAUGCAGCGACGCCGCGUGAGGGAUGGAGGCCUUCGGGUUGUGAACCUCUUUCGCCAGUGAAGCAGGCCUGCCUCGUUUGUGGGUGGGUUGACGGUAGCUGGAUAAGAAGCGCCGGCUAACUACGUG